rnacentral:lncRNA from 1 species
CCGUGAAACGUCCGGGGGCGCUGUGUGAUCGCCACAGGUACCUAUUUAUCUACUUGCACUUUGACGUGCUUUCGAACUGCUAGGUUGGCAGGAGCAGGGACUGAGCAACGGGAGCUCACCCUGUCAUGGGGAUUCGAACCGCCGACCUUCUGAUCGGCAAGCCCUAGGCUCUGUGGUUUAACCCAUAGCGCCACCCACGUCCCUAAUGGAAAUAUUAGAGGAGAUUAAAAAGAAUGAAAAUUAGCAAAGAAUCCAAAAAAUGAGAAGCUAAAUCAAAAUAUUAAAAUGCUGCAAGUACAACUAUCAAUGAUUUUGAAUCAAGAAAUAGAAUCAAAGAUAAAAAUGUUAAAACAAAACAACUUUGAAUUGGCAAAUAAACCUGGAAAGCUGUUGGCUUGGCAAUUAAGGAAGAAACAAAGCGAAAAGCUGAUAAACAAAUUGAUUGUGGAUAGUAAAACAAUUGAGGAACCAAAAAAGGGAAGUAAUAGUUUCUUAGAAUAUUAUAGAGAGUUAUACAGUGGUGCCUCGCAAGACGAAAAGAAUCCGUUCUGUGAGUCUCUUCGUCUAGCGGUUUUUUCGUCUUGCGAAGCAAGCCCAUUGACGGAUUAGCGCUAUUAGCGGCUUUUAGCGGCUUAUCAGCUUAUCGGAUAAGCAGAUAAGCGGCUUAACGGCUUAGAAAAAGGGGGGGAGGGGGGGAAAACCGCAGGAACUCGCAAGACAUUUUCGUCUUGCGAAGCAAGCCCAUAGGAGCUUCGUUUUGCGAAGCACCUCCAAAACGGAAAACUCUUUUGUCUAGCGAGUUUUCCGUCUUGCGAGGCAUUCGUCUUGCGGGGCACCACUGUAUAAAGAAGUCCAAGAGAAACAAGAAAGAAUAGAUGAGUUUUUGAACCAGAAUAAAUUAUGGAAGAUUACAAAAGAAGAGACAACCCAACUGAAUGCCCCAAUUAGUAUGAUGGAAAUUCAACAAGCCAUGGAAAGGAUGAAAGUAGGAAAGACUCCAGGGCCAGAUGGAUUACCAGCCAAAUACUAUUAAAAAAUUAGAAGAUCUACUGUCACUACCAUAUAAAGAGUAGUGAACAACAUCUUAAAUACAGGGAAACUACCAGCAUCAUUUGUUCCCCUAAGGGAACAGAUCCAACAUCAGUUAAGAAUUACCGACCUAUAUCUCUCCUUAAUAAGGAUUACAAAAUAUCCGCAGACAUACUAGCAAAUAGAUUGAAAUGCAUAUUAAAAGAUUAUAUCCAUGAGGAUCAAGCAGGAUUUCUCCCAGGGCGCCACAUGAAAAAUAAUAUAAGAUAUGUGAUAGAUACUCUAGAGCAGGCAUGUCCAAAGUCCAGCCUGAUGCCUGGUUUAAAAUGCCCCCCCCCCAAUUUUGAAAAAUUGAUGUGUUGCGGCCCCCGAGUGCCUGCCUGCUGCUCUGCUUGAAGGAAGGUUAGAGGGAGGCGGGCUGGGCUGUGAUUGGUGCAUCUCUGGUGGCGGCGCUGCAUGAUUGGUCGCGGGAUUCGCUCGCCAGAACCGCCGGCUGCAGCUGCUGGCUGAGGGGGAGGGGCUGGGCCCAAAGAUGCAGGAGAUGCCAGAGGAGAGGUGGGCCGCAGGAAGAGGCCUGGAGCAGCCUCUGCCCAGAAGCCCCUCUCUCCCUCUCUUUAUCUGCCACCCUCUCCCAGCUGUCUCCACCCUGCGCUCCCCAUCCCAUCGCAGCAAAUCUAAAGGGGAUUGGGCAGGGGUUGUGGUGGGAAAGGUGGAACAGCCCCCCCCCCACUUUCCAUAUAGGGAUUUUUUUUUGGUCUCUGGAAUCUUGUGGAGCACAAUGUUUUCACGUCUCUCUUCCACCACCACCCCUUCUCGUUUAAUCUCAUCACUUACUCUUCUCCUCCCCGCAUUUUCUCUCCUCCCCCAUCGGGUCUGGCACUAUGUGUGCGUGCACAUGCCAUAUGUGUGGGUGGGUGGGUGGCAUGCACAUGCAGACACAUAUAUACUGUCUUUCCCCCAGCAAUGGAGAGGAGAGCGCUCUUAAGGAGAGAGGGAAGAAAAAGGGGGAGACAAAAACACACACACAAAAACACUUCCUUUAACAUUUUUUGCUGGUUUGUUUACUACCCUCAUCAAGAGGUUUGUGCCAACUUGGUGUUAUGUUCCUGUUCAUAUUUUUUGAACUUAAAAGUUGACAGACAACCUUUAUUACCAAUAAUAUGUAAUGUACUUUACAAUGUUCCUGACAUAUAUUUCAGCUUCCUGGAUUUUUCCCCCCCAUCUAGCCUUCAGAUAUGAAAGGCAGAGAGAUUUAACACCUGUUUAGAUUUGUCAUCCAUGUGAUGAAAUGAAAAGUAUGCCAUUUGCAAUAAACUUUGCGUAAAAUAGCUAAUUUGCAUUUAAAUUAAUUUGCAUUUAAUUUUAAUGGUUCAAAGAACAUCAGGCAAAAUGGUCAGCCCUCACGCAUAUUCACUUCAUCAAAUCUGGCCCUUUUUGAAUAAAGUUUGGAUACCACUGCUCUAGUUAGAAAUGAAAAACAGGUGGCAUUGUUGUUCAUCGAUGCCGAGAAGGCAUUCAACAACGUCUCCUGGAGGUUAAUGGGGGGGUGAAGAUGAUAGAAGUGGGAGAGAAUUUCUAUAAAGGUAUAAAUAGGGAUGCGGGUGGCGCUGUGGGUUAAACCGCAGAGCCUAGGAUUUGCCGAUCAGAAGGUCGGCGGUUCAAAUCCCCGCGAUGGGGUGAGCUCCCCUUGCUCGGUCCCUACUCCUGCCCACCUAGCAGUUCAAAAGCACGUUAAAGUGCAAGUAGAUAAAUAGGUGCCGCUCCGGCAGGAAGGUAAAUGAUGUUUCCGUGCGCUGCUCUGGUUUGCCAGAAGCGGCUUAGUCAUGCUGGCCACAUGACCCAGAAGCUGUACGCCGGUUCCCUCGGCCAAUAAAGCGAGAUGAGUGCUGCAACCCCAGAGUCGGUCAUGACUGGACCUAAUGGUCAGGGGUCCCUUUACCUAUAAAUGCAAUAUAUUCACAACAAAUAGCUAAAGUAGUUAUAAAUAACAAAUCUAACGUAAAACUGUGAUAUUAAGAGAGGUACAAGACAGGUGUGUCCUUUAUCCCCACUGUUACUUAUUUUGGUGUUGGAAAUUCUGAAUACGAACAUCAGAAAAGAAAAGAACAUAAGGGGUAUAGUUGUCGAAAAUAAGACUUUUAAAGUAAAAGCCUUUGCCGACAACCUGACUAUAACAACGGAAAACCCAAAAGAAGGCAUGCCAGUAGUGAUAGAGAAGAUUACAGAAUUUGGGUUAGUCGCAGGCUUCAAACUCAAUAAAGAAAAAACAAAAAUGUUAAUAAAAAAUAUGAGAGAAGAGGAUAGAAGAGAACUGCAACAACUUACAGGACUGACAAUUUGUAAAAGAAUCAAAUAUAUAGUAAUCUGGAUAUCGGCAAAGAACAUAAAUCUAUAUAAAGACAACUAUAUACCAAUUUGGAAGAAGAUAAAAAGAAGCUUGAAAAUAUGGGACAUGUUAAGAUUAUCAUUCUGGUGUAGGCUCUCCACAAUAAAAAUGUGUUGCCUAAAAUGCUUUUUCUGUUUCAAGCCAUCCCAGUAGUGGACAGUGUAAAACAAUUUAAGACCUGGCAGAAAGAUAUAACAAGAUUUAUUUGGGAGAUUUAUUAGAAUGGUUGGUGAAGGAUGAGGAGGUAAAAUCUGCCAUGGUAAAGUUAAAGUUGUCAUAACAUACAACUCUCAGAUUGGCAAAGACUGUGGAGGGAAGAUCUUAAGUUUACAGCUUGUUUUUCUAUUAAGGAAAACUACAUGAAGGUCUUCUAUUGCUGGUAUAUAACAUCGAGGAAAUUAGCGAUAAUGUACAAAAAUAAUUCAAAUCGUUGCUGGAAAUGUAAGGAGGGAUCAGUGUAUCAUGUAUGGUGGACCUGUAAAAGAAUGAAGGAAUUUUGGGACUCAAUUUAUAAUGAGUUGAAAAAGAUGUUUAAAAUCUCAUUCCCCCCAAAACCUGAGGCAUUUCUUUUAGGGAUUAUUGGGCGAGAGAUCCCAAGAGAGCUAAAGAAAUUAUUUAUGUACGCCACCACGGCAGCGAGAGUUUUGAUUGCACAAAACUGGAAAAGUGAAACAAUACUGUCAAUGAAAGAUUGAAUAUGCUGAGAUGGAUACAUUGACAGGACAAGAUAAGGGAUUUAGCAAAGAUUGGAAUACAUUCAAAUUUAGCAAAGAUUGGAAUACAUUCAAACAAUUCCUGAAAUACCACUGCAGAGAAUUAAAUUUUUUGACUGGUUUAGAUUAACUCUUGUAAUUUUGUUGUUGUUGUUGUUUAGUCGUUUAGUCGUGUCCGACUCUUCGUGACCCCAUGGACCAGAGCACACCAGGCACUUCUGUCCUCCACUGCCUCCCGCAGUUUGAUCAAAUUCAUGCUGGUAGCGUCAAGAACACCAUCCAACUCUGUCGUCUCCUUCUCCUUGUGCCCUCCAUCUUUCCCAACAUCAGGGUCUUUUCCAGGGAGGUCUUCUCUUCUCAUGAGGUGGCCAAAGUAUUGGAGCCUCAGCUUCACGAUCUGUCCUUCCAGUGAGCACUCAGGGCUGAUUUCCUUAAGAAUGGAUGUGUUUGGUCUUCUUGCAGUCCAUGGGACUCUCAAGAGUCUCCUCCAGCACCAUAAUUCAAAAGCAUCCAUUCUUCGGCGAUCAGCCUUCUUUAUGGUCCAGCUCUCACUUCCAUACAUCACUACUGGGAAAACCAUAGCUUUUACUAUACUCUUGUAAUUAGAAACAUCAAAAUGUAACAGUUAAGAUGGUUACCAACAAUCUAGAUUCACAAUGAUAUGCAUUCAACCAAGAACUCAAAAGGAACCAACUAAGAAGGGGAGGGAAGUCAGAGGUAAUUAGAACAUCAGUAAGUUGAAUGAUACAGAACAUUUUUUUAUGAUUUAGAAGCAUUAGUACAUCAACAAGAAAUUGAAACUGCAUAAGAAAGCAUUUCUGUUGUAAAAAAACCCCAAUAAAGGUGAAUGGGGGGGGGGGAGAGAAAUUGCAUUGCCCAUUGCAGUGCUGGAAAGGAAGAAAGUGUUGAGAGGAAUUAACAGCUGUUUGAGUUAGUUAAUUUAUAAUGAUGCUUAAAACCGCAUCCAGCAACCAGAAAGCACAUGAGCACAACAAUCUAGGACCCAAAACUUUGAAACUAAGUAAGCAAACACCAAAGUUCUUUCACUUUAAUUUUAAUUUCCCCGAGGAUACACCAAAGACGUAAAAACCCAUCAUCCAAAUUAAUCUAUUUUGGAUUAUCACUUUCAUUGGCAUUAAAAUACUGCCACACUGUGGCUGCAGCUGGGAAUAAGGAAUAUGAAUAUAGCAGGGCUUGUGUGCUACAAGUCUAUGACUAAUUGGACGUAAUUAUAAGAUGUUUACAGUGUGUAUGAAUAGAAACAUUUAUAAAUUGUAAUUGAGUUGUUUUUGCAAUACCCAUUUAGACUGCACAAGGGUAGGGAAGCAGACACAAAUUACAUUUUUGUGUUCAAUAGUGUAUUUCCUAUGAGACCCAGUCUAAAAAUCAUACCAGAACUCAGGUUGCCUGUGGGUGCAGUGCAGGGACACACACUGUAUUGACUCCACAUCUUGUCUCGUGUGAUAAGGUUUCGUGUUUUUAAAACACCUUUUUGACAUGGAAAAGGUAACAAAUGUGUUAAUAGUCAAUUAUGUAUGUACCCUUUUAAAAAAAUUAAAGAAAUGGUGAGACUUGAGUACCAAGAAAAGAACUAAGUAUUUUUCUUUCUUUUUUUUGCAAAUAAUUUUUAUUAAUUUUCUAAUACAAAUUUAUAUAAGUUUUAACAUCCAAUUUUCACCAACUUUUUCUUUUGAACUUCCAUCAGCAUGUCUGACAAUUCUCCGUAGUAUCACCUUUUCUCACAUUUCACAAUUUAAUAUUGCAUUAUAACAUUCCUUACCCUAUCAUAUUAUUUAUACAAUAUUUCUACUGUUACUUCUCACAAACUUUCUUGAAAGCUUACAAAUGUUAACUGUUCAUCACAAAUAUGUUUAAUAUAUUCUGUAAAUUUAUUCCAGUCCUCAGUGAAUCUCUGAUCUCGUCUAGUCCGAAUCCUCCCUGUUAAUUUGUCCAUUUCUGCGUAUUCCAUCAGUUUCAUUCUCCAUUCUUCAAUCGUAGGCAAUUCUUCUUGCUUCCACUUCUGGGCCAUCAGAAUUCUAGCUGCUGUUACCGCAUAUAAAAAUAUUUUCUCAUCCUUUUUAAUCUCAUAACCUAACAUUCCUAGUAAAAAUGCUUCUGGCUUCUUAGCAAAAUGUAUAUUUCAACAUUUUCUUUAACUCAUUAUAAAUCAUUUCCCAGAAGCGUUUUACUUUUUUACAUUCCCACCACAUAUGAUAAAAUGUUCCUUCUUUUUCCUUACAUUUCCAACAUUUAUUACUCAUUUUAUACAUCUUACCAAGUUUUACCGGUGUUACGUACCAUCUAUAUAUCAUUUUCAUAACAUUUUCUUUUAUUGUAGUACAUGCAGUAAACUUCAUUCCUUCCUUCCACAACUUUAUCCAAUCAGCAAAUUGAAUAUUAUGUCCAAAAUCUUUGGCCCAGUGUAUCAUAGCCGAUUUAACCUCUUCAUCCUUUGUAUACCACUCUAAUAAUAGUUUGUACAUUUUGGAUAAAAAAUUAACCUCAUUAUUCAAUAUUUAUUGUUGAAACCUAGAUUCCUUUUCAGAAAAACCUCUUUCCAAUAGCUCUUUUUUAAACAUUUCAUUCGACUGAAAAUAAUGCAACCAAUCAUUCACACAUACUUUCACUUCUUCAUAUGGUUUCAACUUCCAUUUAUUUACUUCUUUACUUAUUAAAUUUCCAUAUGUUAUCCAUUUCCCUGUCAUAUUGAUCUUUUUAACACUCAUUACUUCCAGUGGCGAUACCCAAUAUGGAGUUUUGGGCUCCAGUAGGUUUUUGUACCUACUCCAUACCUCAAUUAGAGAUCCCCUGAUGAUGUGGUUUUCAAAACCUUUAUGUACUCUUUUUUUAUCAUGCCAUAAAUAUGCGUGCCACCCGAAUCUAUUAUCAUAAAGUUCUAAAUCCAACAAUUCUGUAUGUUCUAACUUCUUUUUUUUUAAAUGAUAUUUAUUGAGAAUUUAAAAUUACAGAGAAAGAAAGAAAAAAACAAGAGAAAAAGAAAAAGAAAGAAAAAGGUAGACAAAAAUAACAAUUGAACAAUACAAGUCAAUAAAAACCAAAGUCAAAGAAAAAAACACACACAAUACAUCAAAAUCAAAAAAACAAAAAUAAACAAAAAAUUUAAAAACAAAUCCAAUAUUCCCAAAUCCUUAUUUUCCAUUAACUUAUUUCAUCAACCUCCUCACACCUCCCUUUUUUGUAUUCUAGUUAUUAAUUAUCUCAGCAAAUCCUUUCCAUCUUUCACAAUAUUCUGUCAUUAAAUUACCUUAAUCUAUUUUAACCUUAUCUUACCAUAAAAACCCUAAAGCUUAAAACUUAAGUCUUAUUUAUACCUAAUUCUUUUAAGCAUAACAUAUUCUUACAUAAUUCUUUUUAACAUUUCUACUAAAGCCAAAUAAUUUCAUUCCAACAUUUUUCUAGUACUCAUUAAUUUUACGAUAAUUUUCUAAAUAAAUUUUUAAAACUUUCUUCCAAUCUUCAUCCAUCGUCUCUUCUUCCUGGUCUCGGGUUUUGUCAGUCCUUUCUAUCCCAUCCAUCUAGUCCAUCAACCUGGUGACCUUCUAUCCGAGGCUCUUAAGUCUUUUCCAUGUCCCUUCCGCAGGUCUUCUUCAUGUUUGUACCUGUACUUUACUUUGUCUUCUGCUGAUCUUAUUCUUAAUUUCCUUCCUUUCUCUCGGGGAGACUCCAACUUGACAAUAUCUUUGUCCCUUCUCGACAAGUCAGCCCAUUCUCCAUGGUCGACACUGAAAUCCAUAUGAUAUUUAGAGGCAUGUUUCAAAGUCCCUCCAAAGUUAAGGGCCCCCACAACUCACAACUCCCCCUGGCCCAAAGCCAAAUUCGAAAGGUCAAAACAUCCCUGCAUAGGGGGAUCUAUCCAGCUUCCCAUCUCUAAGCCAAACAGAACUCCAUCUCUCCAAAUCUGGCUUUCUCCAGAUUCAUUCGUCAGAUCCAACAACUUAUGUUCCUGCAGAGCCGCAGCUCUCUCCAUUUCUGCUACUUGAGGUUCAGGAACAACCUCCUCCUUUAUCUUCUUCACCACUUGAUCUGUCAAAGCACAUUCCUGGAUUAAUUCCUGAGUGGGUUCUAUAUAGGUAUUCACUGUUUGUCCAAAAUUUCCGACUGCAACAGUCAUCAAAUCCAUCUUCUCAUGUAGCUGUUCCAGUAAAGCACUUGUCUUGCAAAGAGCAAGCACUAACGCUUGUUCUACGCACAUUCUUGUUCAAGGUCAAAGUCUGGUCCCACGAUCUUUAAUCUCUACAGCUGCAAAGCUCCCCAGAUCGACUCUAAUAACAGUUUCACAAGCUCCUCUAGGGGAAACAAUUUCUAUUUGUAUCCGUCUUUUUAAAAGCAGAUCUAGCAACAAAGUUCCUUUCCUUUUUCAGAUAUUUUGUUUCUUUUAAAUGCAAGAGGGAACAUUGGAAUCAAUAUGAACUUCCUCAAAGCGUCCGUUCUGACACCCCGCUCCCAGGUUCAAGACGGUGGAAAUUUAUCUUUCUUUACUCUCUCUUCUGCAGGUUUAAACAGUCUAAAAAGAUCCCCCCCCUCUUCUCCUGCUUCCAAGGGGGUUUAGUAAUUUUAAAUGAUGGAAAUUUAAUCCUUUCCAGAUGACUUUCCAGACUCUAGCUUGCAAUGUCUUUGCUUCAAUCUAUUUACAAAAGCGGAAGGCGGACUUCCUGUUUAGACCUUCCCGCUUCGGUGCCAAAUUAAGAAAUUUCAUAGUCCAAUUUUCCGUUCUACUCACAAGCAGUUGUUUAAGAUCCAGUUGUCCACAGGAAAAAGUCAGCGCUCUCCGGCAACAGCAAUGCGGCUUCACUCCAUGAAAAAAGCACCACGGCGAAGCACCACGCCAGAUAGAUAGAUAGAUAAUACUUUAUUCGGCUAUAAGCCCACAAGGUAAAACAAAUCAAUAGAUAAAAAUCAAUAGAUAAAAUCAAUAGCAUUUUACAAUCUAAAAUAUCAACUAAAAUAUUUCAACGCAUAAUCUCUAACUGUACCGUGUUAUGGCCUUGAAGAUAAAGAUGGUGCAUAGAGUUUACUGAAUUUUUAAUAGUCAUGCAGCAUUCCCUGAAGUCUUUUAUAAGACAGAACUGAGAUCAGGAAUCUAGCAACCUGUAAAGUUCUAUAAGAGUCAAUGUCCUGGAGUAGAUAAGCUAGAUGUAAUUCAGGUGGUUUAGCAGCAAUUUCCAGGAUGAUUGAACUCAGGAUCCUUGAUCGGGGAACAUUGUAUAAGGGGCAAUUAAACAAGAUAUGAUAAAGGGAUUCUAUCGAUUUGUUGUCACAUGCGCACAAAACAGAGAUUUUACCGUUAGAAAAUCUAUUGCUCAGCACAUUUGAGGGGAACACAUUAAAUCUGGCUCUAACAAAUGCGAAUCUAUGCGACGCAGCCGAUAAAGUAGACAGAUAUCGAGGUAUCUGGGACAUAGAUGUAAUGCCCUGAUAUAUCGGGGAACAUGUACCUCCACCUGUGGUAAGAUUUUGUUGUAAAUCUACAUCCUCCAAUCUUUGUUUGAUGACCUUUUUAGCUGUAAUUAGAUCUAAAUUAAGUAUAUCGGAGGGAGAGAUUCCAUAAGACAACAGUUUGGAAUGGAUUUUUGUUGCCCAUGGGCUGGUGAAUUCAUCUCUCCAAAGGCACUGAAUAAGAUGGUAGUUUGGCAAUUUAUGCCAAAGGGACAGCCAAUAAUUAAAGGCAUGUCUCCACAUCAGAAUCUCAAGGGAGGGGGUCUUAAGUUCUAAGCGAAUGGCAGAGUUGCUUACACAGGAGGGUAGUUUCAAAAGACGCCCCAUAAAGGGACCACAUAGGCCAUAGUUGCAACCACUUUUGCACUAUAAACUUUUAAGGCGGAUGGAACAUGCAUAGCCCCUCAGUAAAGAAGAAGCGUAGUAUAGCGUAGAUAAGGGCUUUCACCUUGUUUUGUAAAUAUGUGAUAUGCGCUUUCCAUCCCAUAUUAUACUGGAAGUAAAUUCCUAGAUAUUGAAAUUUGUAAACUUGUUCAAUUGGCUUCCCCUCAAGUUCCCAUCUAUACAGUUUACGACUCCUGGAAAAAAUUAGGACUUUAGAUUUGGAAUGGUUAAUAGUGAGUAAAUUUGUUUGGCAAUAUGAUGCAAAAAUCUUAAGGGCCCUCCUCAAACCGAUUCGAGAAUAAGAGAGGAUCACCGCAUCGUCAGCGUACAAUAAUAAGGGGCAGCGAUAGUCUGCAAGCCUGGGUGCAUGAAUGGAGGUUUGGGCCUCAGCUAGGGGCGUCCUCAUGUCACUAAUAUAGAGGUUAAAAAGAUAGGGGCAAGGAUACACCCUUGUCGUACCCCUUGUUUAUUGGAACUGAGUUUGUUAGAUCGCCCUCAGGUGUUAACCUCACCCUAGCAGCCGUCCCUUCAUGUAAUUUAAUCAAUAGCCACAACAGCCUUUUUUCUAUGCCCCACUUUGCCAGUUUUUCCCAUAACAGCUCUCUAGAGAUACUGUCAAAAGCCGCCUUCAGGUCUAUAAAGCGGCACAUAGAAGACCAUGAGUAGGGGAAGAAUUUUUCCGCGCCAAAUGAUAUAGAAUUAUAGCAUGGUCAAUAGAAGCGCGAUUUGGUCUAAACCCGACCUGUUCAUGGCCUAUCAGAUUGGAAUCUUCGGCCCAUUAGGUUAGUCUGGUUAGCAAGAAGCGAGUGUAGAUUUUUCCGAUGAUUGAUAAUAAACUGAUAUUACGAUAGUUUCCUGGGUCCUCUGGUGGUCCUUUUUUAUAUAUAGGAAUUAUGAUGGACUCCUUCCAUGAUGUAGGUAUCUGGCCCGUGGCAUUGAUUGCAUCAAAGAUUUUUGCUAGAAUUUUAGCCCACCAUAUUGGAUGUUGUUUAAUAGCUUCCGCCGGGAUCAGAUCGGGCCCUGGGGCACCACGCCAUUCACCCCACGUUGCUCCGGAUCCCCGAAACUGGGUUUCCCCACGAGUAGGGGAGGCGCGAAAGGUGCCAGCCGAAUCCCACGUCCACAGGCUUCUCCCGCCUGUGGUUUUUAAUGGGUCUCCGCCUCGCCGUGGCGGUCGAGACCCUAAUUCUCACGAAGCGGAUUCCUCCCGAUCAGAGGAAAUCCGCCAUUGCCAGAGGCGCUAACCCAGAAGUCUGGCUCUGUAUGUUCUAACUUCUUCCAUUCUUUCAACCAACAAAUACAUGAUGCCUCAUAGUAUAAUCUUAAAUCUGGCAGAGCGAAGCCUCCUCUAUCUCUUGCAUCUAUUAAUAUCUUAAAUUUAAUUCUCGGCUUCUUCCCCUGCCAAAUGUAUCUUGAUAUUAUUCUUUGCCAUUCUUUAAAUAUUGCCACUCCCUUAAUUAUUGGAAUUGUUUGGAAUAGAAACAACAUUUUCGGUAACACGCUCAUCUUCAUCGUUGCAAUUCUUCCCCAAAAUGAUAAUUUCAUUCUCCCCCACACCUCCAGAUCUCUCUUAAUCUUAUUCCAUAUUGGUACAUAAUUAUUCUGAAAUAGAUCAAUACUCCUGGGGGUUAAUAUAAUUCCUAAAUAUUUCACUUUCUUAACCACCUCGAUCUCUGUCUGUUGUUGUAUUUUUUCAGUUGUGUCAUAAUCCAUAUUCUUUACAAUUAUCUUAGUUUUUUUCUUAUUUAACUUAAAACCAGCCACCUGUCCAAAUUGUUCUAUCUCAUCCAGCACCUCUUUAACACUUUUUAUGGGAUCUUCUUUCGUUAUAACCAAGUCAUCGGCAAAUGCUUUUACUUUAUAUUCAUUACAUCCAACUGUCACACCUUUUAUACCUUCGUUAUUUCUUACUGAUCUUAGGAAGACUUCUAGGAAGAACUAAGUAUUUUUCAUGGUCCUUGUUGUGUGGGUAGGUGAUGAAUUCAGGAAUGUAUGAAGAUGCCCAACACAAAUCCACAUCUUUGGUCCAUCUAGCCUGAUAUUGUUGGUGGCCAACAACUCUCCAAGGCACCUGGAGCCUUCUGCUUGGGUACCACACAGCUAUGGACCCUUCUUGACGGGUUGGCAUUACGUUGCUUUGCAACUAUUUACACCAAUUACCACAGAACCAAUAUUGCUGCUCCAUCAUCCCUCAGCUGCCUCCUGAGGAUGGGGUCCUGGCCUUUAAGCCAGCCAAUCCUGGGCAGAACUGCAGGGUGUUAAGAACAGCAGUGUGCACAGGUUGGAACUUUCUAGAUCUCUGACAGGAAUGGAAGUCAUUCCUUCCAUUCAACAGACAGAAUUCUGGCUAUUUGCUAAGCAAAGAGGAAACCGUCUUUCCAUAAACUGCUUUCCUAGCCACUGUGGAGAAGAAAUGGAGACAGAGAACCUUGUUGGUUAAUUCCAUGGCUACUUCUUUUUCAGAGUUUUUAAUUCUAUCUUCUUUCAUGUGCAUGUUUGAGGCCUUUUCACUAGUGUGUGUGGCCAUGCAGUGCAUUGUUACCUAUCCUUUUAUACAUACCCUGUUAGAUACUCCUAGCAGAACCCAGAGCAACAUGGAGACCCCUGAAGGAGGAUGAGAGUUCUCUGGGACAACACAAGGCGCAGCUCUGCUGCAAAGCUUUAUUGCAUGCAGAAGUUCCUGGGUGCAAUUCUUGGCACAGCCAGACGGGGCCAGCAAAGACCAAAGGGUGCAGACGUUGACAGAGCAGCCGUCGGAGUUGAUAUAGGACUGCUUCCUAUGUUCCUCCAAACUCCAGCCGCCUUCCUAGCACCCAGCUCAGCUUGCUCCUGCCAUUUCGCCCGUUUCCCACAGUUUUAUCUUACGUGGAACCUACACAUGUAUAAAAACCGUUCUGAAAAUGCAUUUUUUGUGUUUUAAAAAACAUUUAAUUUUCCAUAAGGCUCACCAUCGUCAUCUAGUGUCACAUUGUAUAUUGCACUUAAAACGUUUUAUUUGCAGCUGCACAUCUGAGUCCUUAGUCCUCAGGGCAGAAUUGUUCAACAAUGUCCUUGCAACUCUUCCAAGGACAUGAUGUUUGGUUUUUAAAAUAUUGUCCCACCUUUGGGGAUUAGUAAAGAGUAGGAUUGUGGGGGUCAGUACCCAGCUUGUUCCCAUUCAGAGGCAGGUUUUCCCAGGGAAAAGCAAAUCCUGGAAAGCACGGGCCAAGCAAAGAAGCGUCUCCGUGAGCCCAGAGGCCGGCUUGGCUUCUAGCUGCGUUUGAAGAACUUUCUCCAGCAGACUGGACUUCCUGGCAGCCAGGUGGAAGCAGCACCUCUUCAGAGAUGGGGCUGGCCUGCUCCACGUGUGCUUGUGCCUGUGUGUUUUAAUAACUACAAAUGUUUUUCUAAAGCGGGAGAUAUUAUUUGCAGCUGACCUUAUGGUUCUAGAAACCACGCCCACCCCCUGCAUCACCUGCCUUGAAUGCAGAAGGUCCUGAGUUCAAUUCCCACUCCUUCCUGAAACCCUGCAGAAUGGCUGCCUGUCAUGUAGCCCAGCCGUUCUCUAACUUGGGUCUCCAGAUGUUGUUGGGACUGUGAGAGUAUAUAUGUGUGUGUGUGUGUGUGUGUGUGUGUGUGUGUAUACACACACAUAUUUAAUCUAUUUGAUUUUCAAAAAUAUAAGCAAAAGCAUAAAACAGUACAAAAUCCAGAUAUCAAGAUUACUCUGAAUCUCCUGACUUCCCUCCUUCCAUGGGCCCUUUUGGUUCUAUUUUCAACUGCAUAUCAGUACUUCUCCAAUUUUUCAUCUUCCUAAGUUAUCUAUGGUGUGCUCUGGUCCAGGGGGUCACAGAGUCGGACACGACUAAACGACUAAACAACAACAACAUUAUCUAUAUUUUCUGUUACAAGUGUAUUUAAAAUCCUGCUAAUGUUUUGACCUGUUUACAGUGAUUUUGUAUAUACAUUAUAAACAAUUCUCAUUCUUUUUAAAAUUUCUUGUCUUCUUGAUUCCCAGAUAAUUUUGCCAUUUUGGCAUAGUCCAUCAACUUGAUCUGCCAUUCUUCUCUGGACGGGACUGUCUCUUCCUUCCAUCUCUGGGCUAGUAACAUCCAGGUGGCUGUUGUAGCAUACAUGAACAAUUUCCUCUGGUCCUUUGGGAUUUGGUACCUAUAAUUCCUAAUAAAAAGGCUUCUGGUUUUUUAACAAGA